UGGGCUUGACAUCCCGGGAAUUCCGUGGAAACAUGGAAGUGCCCUUCGGGGAACCUGGAGACAGGUGCUGCAUGGCUGUCGUCAGCUCGUGUCGUGAGAUGUUGGGUUAAGUCCCGCAACGAGCGCAACCCUCAUCCUUAGUUGCCAUCAUUAAGUUGGGCACUCUAAGGAAACUGCCGGUGUUAAACCGGAGGAAGGUGGGGAUGACGUCAAGUCCUCAUGGCCCUUAUGUCCAGGGCUACACACGUGCUACAAUGGCCGGAACAAAGGGUCGCAAUCCCGCGAGGGGGAGCUAAUCCCAAAAAGCCGGUCUUAGUUCGGAUUGGAGUCUGCAACCCGACUCCAUGAAGCUGGAAUCGCUAGUAAUCGCGUAUCAGCAUGACGCGGUGAAUACGUUCCCGGGCCU
rnacentral:rRNA from 1 species